rnacentral:lncRNA from 1 species
AGUUCAUUGGUAACGUAGGACAUCAUAUAAAACCAUUAUGGAUCUCAUGUUAUUGAAUAACUUUGGAAACUUUCUUAAUUGAACAAUUGUUCACUUUCAUGCCAAAGAUAUGGUAUAGAGUAUGCUUUACAUACCUGACUGUCAACCUUCAAUACUAGUCCCAAAUGGACUUCCCGUCUUUUUGGAUUACUUAUCUACAAUGAACAUAUAUAGCAAUCUAGUAUUAGCAACCAAACGUCACAAUUCAAUUAUUCGAAUUCACCAAACUAGUGGUUAAGUAGUAAGCGUUAAUUACACCAUAAAGGGUGUCACUUUAACCCUCUUAUACUCCAAUUACAUUCACAUGCCAUGCAUAUUCAUACAACAUCCUCCAAUAUCAAGUUUGGAUUCAUUUAUCCUUCCAACCAAUCCAUUAAACCAAAUUGAGCCAUAGACAUAAAUAAUCAUCAAUUCAAUAGUAUAUUACCAU